rnacentral:rRNA from 1 species
AAUAGCCUAACGGCUGAACCAGCAACUUGGAGGAAUGUAUAGCAAUAGCUAGUUGCAUCAUUGUAACGAUGAUGCAAGAUCGACUAUGUCGAAUAAAAUUCUAGGUAGAAUUAUGAUAAUGACAUUGUCUGCCUAUGUGUCUUGACCAAAUUACGUGCCAGCAGUCGCGGUAAUACGUAGAAGACUAGUGUUAUUCAUGUUUAAUCGGUUUAAAGGGUACCUAGACGGUAAAUCAAGCUUUAUAAGAAAUAUAGUUAAAGGACUAAUUUACUAGAGUUACUUACGAGGGGGCAUUAAAGUACUACUGGUGUAGAGAUGAAAUUCUGUCAUACCUCUUUUCAAAAGAAAAAAUGAAGGCACAGGUAUAGGCGAAGGCAUCUCCUUAUGUGAUAACUGACGUUGAGGGACGAAGGCUUUGUAUAGCGAACAGGAUUAGUUACCCCAGUAGUCGAAGCAGAAAAUGAUGAAUGUCAUAGAUUAGAUGUAAGUUUAUUCUAUAAAUGAAAGUGUAAGCAUUCCACCUCAUGAGUAAUUUGGCAACAUUGGAACUGAAAUCAUUAGACCGUUUCUGAAACCAGUAGUGAAGUAUGUUGUUUAAUUUGAUGAUCCGCAAAAAACCUUACCACAAUUUGAAUAUUUAUAUUUUUUUUUAUUGUUUUCUUAUUAAUUUUCUUCUAAUAACAAAAUGAGGCAAGAAAAUGUUUAUGAGAAAAAAGAAGAAAGUUAAUCUAGAGGCAAUAAGAUAUAUUUACAAGCGUUGCACGGCUGUCUUCAGUUAAUGUCGCGAGACUUUGGUUAGUUCCAUUAAAUUAACGUAAACCCUUACUUUAUUUUUAUAUAGAGUAGUUCCCCGCUAUAUUGGAUAUGAUAACAGGGACUAAGACAAGUCAUCAUGGCCUAAAUAUUGUGGGCUAUAGACGUGCCACAUAAACCUUACAAAAGGGUGUGAAAUUGUGAAAUUGAGCUAAUCCCCCAAAACUGGAUAUACACUCACAAU